UACGUAGGGUGCGAGCGUUGUCCGGAAUUAUUGGGCGUAAAGAGCUCGUAGGCGGUGUGUCGCGUCGGCCGUGAAAACCUGGGGCUUAACUCUGGGCGUGCGGUCGAUACGGGCAUCACUAGAGUUCGGCAGGGGAGACUGGAAUUCCCGGUGUAGCGGUGAAAUGCGCAGAUAUCAGGAGGAACACCGGUGGCGAAGGCGGGUCUCUGGGCCGAUACUGACGCUGAGGAGCGAAAGCAUGGGUAGCGAACAGG
rnacentral:rRNA from 1 species